UUCAAUUUGUUUUUCUUUAUUUUGAGCUAGAGUCAUUUGCAAGCCCAGGAAUACAUCUCUCUGUGAAAGAAAACGAAAUGCUGCCCUCUGUCAGAAAUAAAAUGAAACUGUUCUUAACUCACUGCAGUGGUACAAAUCUCGCCUUGAAGAAUCAUGAAAACCCAGGAAAUCAGGCUUUCUAGCCAGAGUAGAAACUCCUGCAGAACUUACCUUGUUUCCUAGGGAAAGUAAGACAGAGACAGGAAGGCAGGCAACCAACGGUGUGUUAUCAAACCAGGGGCCACUAUGGGCAUCUGGAGAUUUAGCCUUUGAGGAAUUCCGGGAGCCAUUGCAGCCAGUGCACAUCAGGACCAUCCUGCCUACAAGGUGGGAUGCUCUGGGGUGUUUGUUCGCCAGUUCCCACCAGUCACUGGUUUCAAGCUGCCGCACAUCAGUGCUUAUGCAUUUCUGGCCUGCUGCUCAUUGCGGGCUCCAAUGGCCAGAGGGAGCCCUCAGGCAAAGAGAUGCAGAUUUGGCAGUUGGAGGCCCAGCCCUUGUGCUGGUGAGGCUUGAGUGCAUAUAGGGAGCCCUGAUCUGUCCACUGAUCCCACUCUCCAUUAUCCCUUUUAUGCUUCUUUGGACUGUUUUAUUUGCAAGUAUAUUUAAUAUGGUUUGGAUGUUUGUCCCCUCCAAAUCUCAUGUUGAAAUGUAAUCCGCAGUGUUAGAGGUGGGGCCUAGUGGAAGGUGUUGGGGUCAAGGGGGCAGAUCCCUGAUGAAUGGCUUGGUGCCCUCCCCAUGGUAAUGAAUGAGUUCUCAAUCUUAGUUCACAGGAGAGCUGGCUAUUUAAAGGAGGCUGGCACCUCUUCCUCCCUCUCUUGCUCACUCUCUCGCCCUGUGACAUGCUGGCUUCCCUUCCCUCCUGCCAUGACUAAAAGCUUCUUGACGCCUCAUCAGAAACCAAGCAGAUGUGGGCUCCAUGCUUCUUGUACAGUCUGCAGAACUGUGAUAAUGGCGUGUCUGAAAUGGCUGAAGACAACUCCGAUUCUGUCCUUUGGGGACUGGAAG
rnacentral:lncRNA from 1 species